rnacentral:rRNA from 1 species
AUGGCGCCAGAGGGGGAGGCAGUUAAAAUCAAUGUGGAUGGUGCAAUCUCGCGGAACGGCAAAAGGGUUGCAGUCUCGGCGAUAAGCAGGGACAAGGACGGGAGGUAUUUGGGCUCUUCAGCUGUCACUUUUGAUGGUUUGGUUGAUGCGGCGAAUCUGGAAGCACUUGCGUGCAGCGAGGCACUAGCUCUGGCAAAGGACCUCAACCUCUCACAUGUGAUCAUAGGUUCUGAUUGUAUGCAAGUGGUCUCGAACAUCAGGGAGAAUGUGCUAUCAUCUUAUGCUGUAGUCAUUAGUGAAAUUAGAGAGUCUAUAAAAGAUUUUGAGAGUGCUAGCUUUAGAUAUGAGUGUGGGGAGGCCAAUGCUGAAGCUCAUGCCAUUGCAAAGGCUGCUUUAGCUCUCCCUUCUGGUCGUCGUUUGUGGCUAGGGAUCCUACCAAACAUCACUUGUAUUCCUUCUGUGUUAUCUUUUGAAUAA